UAGGGAAUNUUCGGCAAUGGACGGAAGUCUGACCGAGCAACGCCGCGUGAGUGAAGAAGGUUUUCGGAUCGUAAAGCUCUGUUGUAAGAGAAGAACGAGUGUGAGAGUGGAAAGUUCACACUGUGACGGUAUCUUACCAGAAAGGGACGGCUAACUACGUGCCAGCAGCCGCGGUAAUACGUAGGUCCCGAGCGUUGUCCGGAUUUUAUUGGGCGUAAAGCGAGCGCAGGCGGUUAGAUAAGUCUGAAGUUAAAGGCUGUGGCUUAACCAUAGUACGCUUUGGAAACUGUUUAACUUGAGUGCAAGAGGGGAGAGUGGAAUUCCAUGUGUAGCGGUGAGAUGCGUAGAUAUAUGGAGGAACACCGGUGGCGAAAGCGGCUCUCUGGCUUGUAACUGACGCUGAGGCUCGAAAGCGUGGGGAGCAAACAGGAUUAGAUACCCUGGUAGUCCACGCCGUAAACGAUGAGUGCUAGGUGUUAGACCCUUUCCGGGGUUUAGUGCCGCAGCUAACGCAUUAAGCACUCCGCCUGGGGAGUACGACCGCAAGGUUG
rnacentral:rRNA from 1 species